AGUGAACGCUGGCGGUAGGCCUAACACAUGCAAGUCGAACGGCAGCACAGUAAGAGCUUGCUCUUACGGGUGGCGAGUGGCGGACGGGUGCGGAAUACCUCGCAAUCUACUUUUUAGUGGGGGAUAACGUAGGGACACAUACGCUAAUCCCGCAUACGACCUACGGGUGAAAGCAGGGGAUCUUCGGACCUUGCGCGAUUGAAUGAGCCGAUGUCGGAUUAGCGAGUUGGCGGGGUAAAGGCGCACCAAGGCGACGAUCCGUAGCUGGUCUGAGAGGAUGAUCAGCCACACUGGAACUGAGACACGGUCCAGACUCCUACGGGAGGCAGCAGUGGGGAAUAUUGGACAAUGGGCGCAAGCCUGAUCCAGCCAUGCCGCGUGGGUGAAGAAGGCCUUCGGGUUGUAAAGCCCUUUUGUUGGGAAAGAAAAGCAGCAAGUUAAUACCCCGCUGUUCUGACGGUACCCAAAGAAUAAGCACCGGCUAACUUCGUG
rnacentral:rRNA from 1 species